rnacentral:misc_RNA from 1 species
AACCUAGCACACCUGCGGUGUGUACCUGCGGAAGGAUCAUUAUAGAGUUUUCUAAACUCCCAACCCAUGUGAACUUACCUUUUGUUGCCUCGGCAGAAGUUAUAGGUCUUCUUAUAGCUGCUGCCGGUGGACCAUUAAACUCUUGUUAUUUUAUGUAAUCUGAGCGUCUUAUUUUAAUAAGUCAAAACUUUCAACAAUGGAUCU